CCUACGGGUUGCAGCAGUGGGGAAUAUUGGACAAUGGGGGCAACCCUGAUCCAGCCAUGCCGCGUGUGUGAAGAAGGCUUUCGGGUUGUAAAGCACUUUCAGUAGGGAGGAAAACCUUAUGGCUAAUACCCAUGAGGCUUGACGUUACCUACAGAAGAAGCACCGGCUAACUCCGUGCCAGCAGCCGCGGUAAUACGGAGGGUGCAAGCGUUAAUCGGAAUUACUGGGCGUAAAGCGCGCGUAGGUGGUUUGGUAAGCGAGAUGUGAAAGCCCCGGGCUUAACCUGGGAACGGCAUUUCGAACUGUCAGACUAGAGUGUGGUAGAGGGUAGUGGAAUUUCCUGUGUAGCGGUGAAAUGCGUAGAUAUAGGAAGGAACACCAGUGGCGAAGGCGGCUACCUGGACCAACACUGACACUGAGGUGCGAAAGCGUGGGGAGCA
rnacentral:rRNA from 1 species